ensembl:lncRNA
GUCAGAAUUUUCUUAGAUGCAGCCCCCUGACCUCUCCAGAAAUUCCAAUAUAACCAAACAUGAUAUAAAUACCUAUAUGCAUUGGACACUGAAACAAGUAUUAGUUUUCAUUGGUUGCUUCUACAGCCUUGUUGCCUCCUGUCUUCUCUAACAGAACCUUGUGAUCUAGGGAGUCCCAGGAGUUUCAGGAAAACAUUUUGCAACAACAUGGGGUUGGCCUGUUGAAAAAAGUGUUACUUUGAGGAAGCAUUGCUAAGAAACCAAGAGAGAGAAACCAGGUACCAGACAUGUCAUCUGAUCUACUGGAUUACUCACCUGUCACUCAUUGCAUAUUCCUAACCACUGGACAUCAGGGAAGCCCCUGUUCAUGGAUUCUUGAGGGUUAAAGACCCCCAAGAUGAAUAAGCUAGCGUAAGAAGUGAAGAAUGGCUCUUGGAAUUGUGCAACGUGACAGUCCUGCUUGCCAGGAAAGCCAGGAAAGCCAGACCGAGGACAAAGGAAACAGAGGAGAGCAGCAACAAGAGAACAGAGGAAGAUGGAUAUAGCUCUGGUCAACUAGCCUGAAACUCACAAAGACCUCCUAUUGGAGAGACCUCCUUUCAGCAUCAUCACCCCACCUCAUUAGAAAAUCCACGAGGAAGAACUCAGUUUGACCCAGCCUGGCCAUAUGCCCAUCUCUGUGGCUGAAGGAGUAGAGUACCAUGAUUCACAGCCACCAGUGGGGGAGGAGCAGCUUCUCAAAAGCAAGAAGGAAAAGAGUGCUGGCCUGACAAAAACCACAGAGGGUAAACUCCUUGGACAGCCAGAUUUCUGUAAGUCAAGCUGCUGUGUAAUAUCAACCUUAUCAAAAGUUUCAAUAAAC